GGUCUGGGACAACAGUUGGAAACGACUGCUAAUACCGGAUGUGCCGUAAGGUGAAAGAUUUAUUGCCUGGAGAUGAGCUCGCGUCUGAUUAGCUAGUUGGUGGGGUAAAGGCUUACCAAGGCGACGAUCAGUAGCUGGUCUGAGAGGAUGAUCAGCCACACUGGGACUGAGACACGGCCCAGACUCCUACGGGAGGCAGCAGUGGGGAAUUUUCCGCAAUGGGCGAAAGCCUGACGGAGCAAUACCGCGUGAGGGAGGAAGGCUCUUGGGUUGUAAACCUCUUUUCUCAAGGAAGAACACAAUGACGGUACUUGAGGAAUAAGCAUCGGCUAACUCCGUGCCAGCAGCCGCGGUAAUACGGAGGAUGCAAGCGUUAUCCGGAAUGAUUGGGCGUAAAGCGUCCGCAGGUGGUCUUGUAAGUCUGCUGUUAAAGCGUGAGGCUCAACCUCAUAUGGGCGGUGGAAACUACAAAACUAGAGUACGUUCGGGGCAGAGGGAAUUCCUGGUGUAGCGGUGAAAUGCGUAGAUAUCAGGAAGAACACCGGUGGCGAAAGCGCUCUGCUAGGCCGUAACUGACACUGANGGACGAAAGCUAGGGGAGCGAAUGGGAUUAGAUACCCCAGUAGUCAA
rnacentral:rRNA from 1 species